CAGUAGCCGCGGUAAUACGUAGGGUGCGAGCGUUAAUCGGAAUUACUGGGCGUGAAGCGUGCGCAGGCAGUUGUGUAAGACAGGUGUGAAAUCCCCGGGCUUAACCUGGGAACUGCGCUUGUGACUGCACAGCUAGAGUAUGGCAGAGGGGGGUGGAAUUCCACGUGUAGCAGUGAAAUGCGUAGAGAUGUGGAGGAACACCGAUGGCGAAGGCAGCCCCCUGGGCCAAUACUGACGCUCAUGCACGAAAGCGUGGGGAGCAAACAGGAUUAGAUACCCGAGUAGUCCCUGUCUCUUAUAC
rnacentral:rRNA from 1 species